GACGAACCUUGCUAACGUUAUUCGGAAUCACUGGGCUUAAAGGGUGCGUAGGCUGUGCAGAAAGUUGGGUGUGAAAUCCCUCGGCCUAACCGAGGAACUGCGCCCAAAACUACUGUGCUUGAGGGAGAUAGAGGUGAGCGGAACUGAGGGUGGAGCGGUGAAAUGCGUUGAUAUCCUCAGGAACACCCGUGGCGAAAGCGGCUCACUGGGUCUCUUCUGACGCUGAGGCACGAAAGCUAGGGGAGCAAACGGG
rnacentral:rRNA from 1 species